AACGGCCAUAACAUGCUGAAUAUACCGGUUCUCGUUAGAUCACCGAAGUCAAGCAUCAUUGGGCGCGGUCGGUACUAGGGUGGGUGACCACCUGGGAACACCGCGUGCCGUU